AGUGAACGCUGGCGGUAGGCCUAACACAUGCAAGUCGAACGGCAGCACAGUAAGAGCUUGCUCUUACGGGUGGCGAGUGGCGGACGGGUGAGGAAUACAUCGGAAUCUACUUUUUCGUGGGGGAUAACGUAGGGAAACUUACGCUAAUACCGCAUACGACCUACGGGUUAAAGCAGGGGAUCUUCGGACCUUGCGCGAUUGAAUGAGCCGAUGUCGGAUUAGCUAGUUGGCGGGGUAAAGGCCCACCAAGGCGACGAUCCGUAGCUGGUCUGAGAGGAUGAUCAGCCACACUGGAACUGAGACACGGUCCAGACUCCUACGGGAGGCAGCAGUGGGGAAUAUUGGACAAUGGGCGCAAGCCUGAUCCAGCCAUACCGCGUGGGUGAGGAAGGCCUUCGGGUUGUAAAGCCCUUUUGUUGGGAAAGAAAAGCAGCAGGUUAAUACCCCGCUGUUCUGACGGUACCCAAAGAAUAAGCACCGGCUAACUUCGUG
rnacentral:rRNA from 1 species